GUGGGGAAUCUUCCGCAAUGGACGAAAGUCUGACGGAGCAACGCCGCGUGAGUGAUGAAGGUCUUCGGAUUGUAAAGCUCUGUUAAUCGGGACGAAAGAGCCUAGUGUGAAUAAUGCUAGGAAGUGACGGUACCGGAAUAGAAAGCCACGGCUAACUACGUGCCAGCAGCCGCGGUAAUACGUAGGUGGCAAGCGUUGUCCGGAAUUAUUGGGCGUAAAGCGCGCGCAGGCGGAUCUGACAGUCUGUCUUAAAAGUUCGGGGCUUAACCCCGUGAUGGGAUGGAAACUACAGAUCUAGAGUAUCGGAGAGGAAAGUGGAAUUCCUAGUGUAGCGGUGAAAUGCGUAGAUAUUAGGAAGAACACCAGUGGCGAAGGCGACUUUCUGGACGAAAACUGACGCUGAGGCGCGAAAGCCAGGGGAGCGAACGGGAUUAGAAACCCCAGUAGUCC
rnacentral:rRNA from 1 species